GACAGAGGGUGCAAACGUUGUUCGGAAUUACUGGGCGUAAAGCGCGUGUAGGCGGCUCGGCAGGUCGGGGGUGAAAGCCCUGGGCUUAACCUAGGAAGUGCACUCGAAACUGCCAAGCUUGAGUUCUGGAGAGGAAGGCGGAAUUCUCGGUGUAGAGGUGAAAUUCGUAGAUAUCGAGAGGAACACCGGUGGCGAAGGCGGCCUUCUGGACAGCAACUGACGCUGAGACGCGAAAGCGUGGGGAGCAAACAGG
rnacentral:rRNA from 1 species